rfam:Firmicutes bacterium CAG:110 genomic scaffold, scf389
UGAUCUCCACAUAGAGCGUGUGGAGGGUAAACAAAAGAAUGCUCGCAGAGA